GUGAGGGGUUAACGUGACUGUCAAACAUUGGACUUGUAUGCUAGCUACAUUUAGUUUAAUUUCUCUCACGACAGCCAACAAUAUAAACUAAUCUAUCUAGCUGGCUAACAAGGUGCAUGGUGUAGCUCAGCAGACCCUAGCGUACAGGCUGUGCGGCCCGGGUGACCCAUGGUUGUCGCAGUGGACCACCCACAUUGCUUGCACCAGACGAUGAAAAUUAUCUGGGGCAGUACUGUAUCUACUGCACCAGGCAUGGGUUCCCCUUCACCAGACAGAGGCUGAUGAAAUACGCCGACAAAAUACACAGGUUUCGGCACCCAUGGGAAACAAUCCCACCACUGGGGAAGAGGUGGUGGGAAAUGUUUAGGAGGAGGCACAAGAACCUGAGCAUGAGGAGGCCAGACACUCUGGACUGGGGGAGAGCUGAGUGUGCUACACGUCUGACGACGGACGCCUUCUUCACUUCUUAUGAGAAGCACUUGGAGGAGAGUGGGUUGAGGGAGAAACCCAGACAAAAUCUAUAACUGCGAUGAGUCUGGGUUUCGAAGCGACUAGAGCAGGCACAAAGUGCUUGCUCCCUGGGGUGCAAAACACAUGUAC
rnacentral:lncRNA from 1 species